GCGAGGAUAUGUCCUGGGGGAAAGUGGGGAGGCUCAAAAACUAGCGGCCAGCAGCAUUUCAUUGCUGCUGGCCGUUGCCCAGAAAUUUCCCCGCCUCCGAAUGACGGUAGUUCGGCCGGACCUGGCGUGCUUCCGCCGGAAGCCGGAAGAAGAUGACAUUGUCAUUGAGGAUUUAUAGGCAGUGCGGACACCAGAGAGAGGCCAACAUCCAAAUGAACUCAGCAGGUGACAGAAUGAUGGCGGCAAGACCUCCUUCUCCAUAUUUUCAUGGGGGCAGAGCAUUAAAAACAGAAUAAAACUUCAAACAUUAAAAACUUCCCUGAACAGGGCUGCCUUCA